AUUGAACGCUGGCGGCAGGCCUAACACAUGCAAGUCGAGCGGAGCGGCAGACGGGGGAGUAAUGCCUAUGAAUCUGCCUGGUAGUGGGGGAGAACGUCCGGAACCGGGCGCUAAUACCGCAUACUCUCAGAUGAGGCUAGGUCGGAUUAGCUAGUUGGUGGGGUAAAGGCCUAACAAGGCGACGGUCCGUAACUGGUCUGGGAGGAUGAGCAGUCACACGGGAACUGAGAAACGGUCCAGAAUCCUACGGGAGGCAGCAGUGGGGAAUAUUGGACAAUGGGCGAAAGCCUGAUCCAGCCAUGCCGCGUGUGUGAAGAAGGUCUUCGGAUUGUAAAGUACUUUAAGUUGGGAGGCGUUACCAACAGAAGAAGCACCGGCUAACUCCGUGCCAGCAGCCGCGGUAAUAC
rnacentral:rRNA from 1 species